CCCUAUUAUUAUAUAAUAGAUUAAAAAUUAGUAUAAGUGAAAUUUAAAGAUGUUGGCGGCUAAUAAGUUUUAGAGGAGCUUGUAAUAUUUAAUAGAAUUAACUCUUUUUAUUUUAAUAGAAAUAUAAUUUAUUCAUCUCCGUUAUCAAUUUUUUAAUAAAUAUUUUUAAUAUAUCAGGUCAAGAUGUAGUAUUUUUUAUAAUUUAUUAGCUAUAUUUAUAAAAAUUAAUGGAUUUGGAAAUUGGAAUUAUAAAAUUGAAGUUGAAUUUAUAUGUAAUAUUAAUUAGAAAAUUAUUAUGAAUUAGUUUAAUUAGUGU
rnacentral:rRNA from 1 species